rnacentral:rRNA from 1 species
AACGAACGCUGGCGGCAUGCCUAACACAUGCAAGUCGAACGAAACCUUCGGGUCUAGUGGCGCACGGGUGCGUAACGCGUGGGAACCUGCCCUUAGGUUCGGAAUAACUCCCCGACAGGGGUGCUAAUACCGGAUAAUGUCUUCGGCCCAAAGAUUUAUCGCCUUAGGAUGGGCCCGCGUUGGAUUAGCUAGUUGGUAGGGUAAAAGCCUACCAAGGCGCCGAUCCAUAGCUGGUCUGAGAGGAUGAUCAGCCACACUGGGACUGAGACACGGCCCAGACUCCUACGGGAGGCAGCAGUGGGGAAUAUUGGACAAUGGGCGAAAGCCUGAUCCAGCAAUGCCGCGUGAGUGAUGAAGGCCUUAGGGUAGUAAGGCUCUUUUACCCGGGAUGAUAAUGACAGUACCGGGAGAAUAAGCUCCGGCUAACUCCGUG